GGAAGCAGCUUGCUGCUUCGCUGACGAGUGGCGGACGGGUGAGUAAUGUCUGGGAAGCUGCCUGAUGGAGGGGGAUAACUACUGGAAACGGUAGCUAAUACCGCAUAAUGUCGCAAGACCAAAGAGGGGGACCUUCGGGCCUCUUGCCAUCGGAUGUGCCCAGAUGGGAUUAGCUUGUUGGUGGGGUAACGGCUCACCAAGGCGACGAUCCCUAGCUGGUCUGAGAGGAUGACCAGCCACACUGGAACUGAGACACGGUCCAGACUCCUACGGGAGGCAGCAGUGGGGAAUAUUGCACAAUGGGCGCAAGCCUGAUGCAGCCAUGCCGCGUGUAUGAAGAAGGCCUUCGGGUUGUAAAGUACUUUCAGCGGGGAGGAAGGGAGUAAAGUUAAUACCUUUGCUCAUUGACGUUACCCGCAGAAGAAGCACCGGCUAACUCCGUG
rnacentral:rRNA from 1 species